UCGAGAAUUUUUCUCAAUGGGCGCAAGCCUGAAGGAGCGACGCCGCGUGGGGGAUGAAGGGUUUCGAUCCGUAAACCCCUGUCAUUUGUGAACAAUGGUUAUCGUUUAAGAGAUGAUAACUUGAUAGUAAUGAAAGAGGAAGGGACGGCUAACUCUGUGCCAGCAGCCGCGGUAAUACAGAGGUCCCGAGCGUUGUUCGGAUUCACUGGGCGUAAAGGGUGCGUAGGUGGCUGGAAAAGUUUGAUGUGAAAUCUCCGGGCUCAACCCGGAAAAGGCAUUGAAUACUGCAGAGCUGGAGGUUUGGAGGGGGGACUGGAAUUCUCGGUGUAGCAGUGAAAUGCGUAGAUAUCGAGAGGAACACCAGUGGCGAAGGCGAGUCCCUGGACAACACCUGACACUGAGGCACGAAAGCCGGGGGAGCAAACAGGAUUAGAUACCCCCGUAGUCC
rnacentral:rRNA from 1 species